UAAGGAGGAGGCAAGCGUAAUGCGGAAUUAUUGGGUGUAAAGCGUCCGUAGGUGGUUGGCCAAGUCUGCUGUCAAAGGGUGGGGCUUAACCUCAUAAAGGCAGUGGAAACUGGCGAGCUAGAGUGCGGUAGGGGUAGGGGGAAUUCCCAGUGUAGCGGUGAAAUGCGUAGAGAUUGGGAAGAACAUCGGUGGCUAAAGCGCCCUGCUGGGCCUGCACUGACACUGAGGGACGAAAGCUAGGGGAGCGAAAGGG
rnacentral:rRNA from 1 species